rnacentral:rRNA from 1 species
CGAACGGAAGCUUUAUAAGCUUUAGUGGCGGACGGGUGAGUAACGCGUGAGAAUCUGCCUUUAGGUAGGGGAUAACAGUUAGAAAUGACUGCUAAUACCCUAUAUACGUUAUUAAGUCAAAGGAUUUCCGCCUAAAGAAGAGCUCGCGUCUGAUUAGCUAGUUGGUGUGAUAAUAGCGCACCAAGGCGACGAUCAGUAACUGGUUUGAGAGGAUGAUCAGUCACACUGGAACUGAGACACGGUCCAGACUCCUACGGGAGGCAGCAGUGGGGAAUUUUCUGCAAUGGGCGCAAGCCUGACAGAGCAAUACCGCGUGAGGGAUGAAGGCCUGUGGGUCGUAAACCUCUUUUUUCAAGGAGGAAGAUAUGACGUGUACUUGAAGAAUAAGCAUCGGCUAACUCCGUGCCAGCAGCCGCGGUAAGACGGAGGAUGCAAGUGUUAUCCGGAAUCACUGGGCGUAAAGCGUCUGUAGGUGGCUUAAUAAGUCUGUUGUUAAAGCUUGGGGCUUAACUCCAAAAAAGCAAUGGAAACUGUUAGGCUUGAGUAUAGUAGAGGUAAAAGGAAUUUCCAGUGGAGCGGUGAAAUGCGUAGAGAUUGGAAAGAACACCGAUGGCGAAGGCAUUUUACUGGGCUAUUACUGACACUCAGAGACGAAGGCUAGGGUAGCAAAUGGGAUUAGAUACCCCAGUAGUCCUAGCAGUAAACGAUGGAUACUAGAUGUUGUACGUAUCGACUC